CCAAGGAGGAAUGAUGCAAAAGACAAAUAUGUCAAAGAUGCAAAACAAUUGCAAGAUUACGUGGAGAAUUUUUUGAAUGCUUGCCUUGAAAGAGACGCUCAAUCACAAUCCUCUUUCAAAUUAAUAAACUCACAAAACACAAGUUACGACUUUGAGUAUGUCAACAAUGCUCCACAACAAGAAAGCGAUUCUCUGGAUUGUGGCCUCUUUGUCUGCUAUAUAAUGAAACAUUAUAGCAAGCAU